rnacentral:RNase_P_RNA from 1 species
AGACAGUCGCGUGGGCAGGCCGAAAGGCCGUCCAUGAGGAAAGUCCGGGCUCCACAGGGCAAGGAUAACGGGUAACGCCCGCCGAAGGCGACUUCAGGAAAAGUGCAACAGAGAUAUACCGCCUCCUGUCCCGUCAGGGACCCUGCUCUCGGCAGGGGGAGGUAAGGGUGGAAAGGUGCGGUAAGAGCGCACCCGGCGGCUCGAGAGUGUCCGCCGCUGUAAACUCUAUCCGGAGCAACACCGUGGUUUGGAAGCAUCAGGCCGGCCCGGCCGCUUCCCAGAGGUGGCUUGAGCGCUCUGGCAACAGGGCGCCUAGAUAGAUGACUGUCAAAUACAGAACCCGGCUUACAGUUUUUCUCG